rnacentral:lncRNA from 1 species
ACUUUUCUCCCCACUCUGCCUCUUCAACACUUUGCUUCCUCUGUUCCUUGCCAAUAUGGAAGAAAGAGAAAAAGCCUCGGACAUGAAAGCAAGCCACCAGUUCUUCCGAGGUAUGAAUGAAAAAUUAUAUAUAUAUGUACAAGGUCAAACCCACCAUACAUUUUCCACUUACUUUAUGAAAUGAUUGAUCCGAACUUUUAUUUGCAGGUGAUCUCGCGAGACGAGCUGCUGCUGCUGCUGCUGGUGGCUGGGCAAGAAAGAUAGGAGAAUAAAUGUUAUUCUCUUCAGUUCUGUGGCCUGGCUGCUGCUGCUGCUGCUGCUGCUGCUGCUGCUGCUGCUGCUGCUGCUGC